CCUACGGGGGGCAGCAGUGAGGAAUAUUGGUCAAUGGACGAGAGUCUGAACCAGCCAAGUAGCGUGAAGGAUGACUGCCCUAUGGGUUGUAAACUUCUUUUAUAUGGGAAUAAAAUGUUCCACGUGUGGGAUUUUGUAUGUACCAUAUGAAUAAGGAUCGGCUAACUCCGUGCCAGCAGCCGCGGUAAUACGGAGGAUCCGAGCGUUAUCCGGAUUUAUUGGGUUUAAAGGGAGCGUAGGUGGAUUGCUAAGUCAGUUGUGAAAGUUUGCGGCUCAACCGUAAAAUUGCAGUUGAAACUGGCAGUCUUGAGUACAGUAGAGGUGGGCGGAAUUCGUGGUGUAGCGGUGAAAUGCUUAGAUAUCACGAAGAACUCCGAUUGCGAAGGCAGUUCACUGGACUGCAACUGACGCUGAGGCUCGAAAGUGCGGGUAUCAAACAGGAUUAGAUACCCGAGUAGUC
rnacentral:rRNA from 1 species